rnacentral:ncRNA from 1 species
AUAAAGGCGAUGAAUAGAGGAGUAAUUGUAUUUUAUGUGUUUAAGAGAGUCUCGGCUGGUGGAAUGGGAUAACACAGGAUAUAAUGAAAAAAGACUAGGAGCUGUAUCUAGGAUAUUAAGGUUGAUUAGAUAACGUGAGCCACGUUACAGGCAAAACUAUUAUUUGAUAGUUGUUGAGGUUAAUAAGGUGACUUAUUAACGAAUUAGGGUGGUACCACGAUACUCUCGUCCCUUUA